AUUGAACGCCGGCGGAAUGCUUUACACAUGCAAGUCGAACGGCAGCACGGACUUCGGUCUGGUGGCGAGUGGCGAACGGGUGAGUAAUGUAUCGGAACGUGCCCAGUCGUGGGGGAUAACGUAGUGAAAAUUACGCUAAUACCGCAUACGAUCUAUGGAUGAAAGCGGGGGAUCGCAAGACCUCGCGCGAUUGGAGCGGCCGAUAACAGAUUAGGUAGUUGGUGGGGUAAAGGCCCACCAAGCCAACGAUCUGUAGCUGGUCUGAGAGGACGACAAGCCACACUGGAACUGAGACACGGUCCAGACUCCUACGGGAGGCAGCAGUGGGGAAUUUUGGACAAUGGGCGCAAGUCUGAUCCAGCCAUUCCGCGUGCAGGAUGAAGGCCCUCGGGUUGUAAACUGCUUUUGUACAGAACGAAAAGGCUCUGGUUAAUACCUAGGGCUCAUGACGGUACUGUAAGAAUAAGCACCGGCUAACUACGUGCCAGCAGCCGCCGUAA
rnacentral:rRNA from 1 species